UUUUUCAACUUUGGAGCUCCAAAAUAGGAGCUAAAAUACUUCAAAAGUUAAAUUUGACUGGGAAAAUGAUAACA
rnacentral:rRNA from 12 species